UUUGUCCUUCUGUUUUCAUCCGUGUUCAGUGUUUCUCGUGUUGAAUUAAUGCUGAUGAAUCAUAAAUCCCUCGUUUACUCUCCGCGUGUUUGAGGCGAGCGGGGGCGCGCUGCUCGUGCGUGUGUGCGUUACUCCAGACGAACCUCAAGAAGCUCCAUUCGCUCUCACAGCACACAAUAUCGUGAAUAUUAAACACAUCCCUGCUCGGAGCUUCACGACAGAUGAGCGGUGAGAAAUCUGAGGAAAGAUGAGCUGUAUCUGAUAGACUUGUCACAUAUGAGACUGGUUUAUGGAAAUAUGAGGCCGUGGGCUUCCAUCAGUCCAGCAGCAUCAGACUGGCGUCCAGUCCGGUCCGAGUGGACGAGCUCAUAUAUCAGACGAGCAGAACACACUGGCACCCGGCGCCACAGUUCCUCAUCAGCGCUGAGAUGAUCCAGCAGCUCUUCCCUCUGCUCCACAUGAACGAGGUACAACACCUUCACACGCCCGAGGAUCACGUCAAGACUGACACACAUACUGCAUUUAUAUGAUGAUUUUAUUAUAUUUUACUGCUGAAUUAUUAUCUUUUUUCCCUUAUCCUGCUUUUUUCUUCUUGAUAAGCAUCAGUAAAAAGUGUUAGUAUCUAAAAUGCAACGUUUACAAAUAUAAACACUAUAAACAUGUAUUUUUGUUUCUGUCACUCCACAACAAAUCCUCAACAUGCAACAGUAUACAGAACAAAACAGGAAUGAAAAUAUGUGACCAUGGACCACAAAACCAGUCAUAAUGGUCAGUUUAUUUCAAUUGAGACUUAUACAUCAUCUGAAAGCUCUACGAAUGAUGUUUACGAAGGGAACUCACACUCGUGCUUCAGCGAUGAUGUCACCAGGUUCUGUCGGGUCAGGGCUGCAGGUCUGGGAUCAGUCAAACACACCAGGAGGUCAAAGGUCAGAGCUCACAGAACGCUUGCAGGAGGAUCCAGUUACUCUGAACCCUACCGACUCACAAAUACACUGUGAGCUGUGAUUGGUUCCUCAAAUAACACCUCGACCAAUCAGAUGACGUCACUGCAUUACAGAUGUUUGUGAUUGUGUGUCUGCUGAACUGGUUCUGAUACACACACACACACACACACACACACACACACACACACAGCGUAAUUCAACAGACCAAAUUAACACACUAAACACUGAUUUAUUAAGAAUGUCAAAAUGCAAAAGGUGUUCUGGGAGGGUUAUGUUUAGUGUUGGGAUUAGAAAAUAUUGUUAUCUCACUGUGUGUGUGUGUGUGUGUGUGUGUUGUGCUGCUGGAGGUUAUUUCAGACUGAUGGAUCAUGUUCUGUCACUGUGUGAUUAUUUCAGGACACCUGCAAUGUUUGUGUGUCUCCUUUGCUCAGGAAUUCUUCUUAAAGGAACAGUUCACUCAAAAAAUGAAUCUACUGUAAAUAUGCUCACCUUCAGGCCUUUCAGUCUUUAUCAGGUUUGGAGAAAUGUAGCACUGCAUCAGUGUCUCAUCAAUGGAUGCUCUGCAGUGAAUGGGUGCCGUCAGAAUGAGAGUCUGAUAAAAACAUCCCAAUAAUCCACAGCACUCCAGU